GAUGAAGAACGUAGCGAAAUGCGAUAAGUAGUGUGAAUUGCAGAAUUUAGUGAAUCAUCGAAUCUUUGAACGCACAUUGCGCCCCUUGGUAUUCCAUGGGGCAUGCCUGUUCGAGCGUCAUUUGUACCUUUAAGCUCUGCUUGGUGUUGGGUGUUUGUCUCGCCUCUGCGUGUAGACUCGCCUCAAAACAAUUGGCAGCCGGCGUAUUGAUUUCGGAGCGCAGUACAUCUCGCGCUUUGCACUCAUAACGACAGCGUCCAAAAGUACAUUUUACACUCUUGACCUCGGAUCAGGUAGGGAUACCCGCUGAACUUAAGCAUAUCAAUAAGCGGAGGA
rnacentral:misc_RNA from 1 species